rnacentral:snRNA from 1 species
AGCUUUGUGCAGUGGCAGUAUCGUAGCCAAUGAGGUUUAUCGGAGGUGCAAUUAUUGCUAAUUAAAUUUACCACUCAAGAAUUAAGGAAAUUAAAGCAUUAUAAGUUUUAGAAUACAGGUUCUAAAAUC